rnacentral:lncRNA from 1 species
UAACAUUUCAAUUUUAAAGGUAUUCUUCUGCCUGUUCGGCGCUGCAGUAGCUGUGCAAUACAGCGGUCAUCACGUUGUGGAAGGAGUAGGAUCCGGCCUGGAAUACCCUGUCGCUGAUGUUCCAUUCCUUCGUAGUGGAGUCGUUCCUGAGACCUACAAGUCAGGAGACUUCGAUUACACAGCAUAUGAUCGCCCCUUUACCAAAAAGGCCUUCCCCCAGUUUUACUACCAACCGUACUACCAGGCUGGGUUCCGCAAGUCAUACCCGCAUGUCAACCCAUUUUAUCAAAACUUCGAAAGCUUCAAUUAUCCAGAAUACCAUGGUGUCCAACAAGGAUACAAAUACCCAUUUGAGUUCUACCAGACCAGCCGCCACUCCUAUUCCUACCCUAAAGGCCACCAGUACACUCCUUUCCCUGCAGGACAACAAUACUACCCCUAUCCUACUGGUCAACACUACUUCCCCUACCCUACCGGUCAGCAGUACUACCCCUACCAGUACUACCCCUACGCAGCAUCCGUCUAAUUUUUGUAAGCUGUAAACAUCCACAUGGUUUAGUACUUCAAAAAUCCAAUGAAAAAUUUUGUAUUUUUCACAAUUUGUCUAAAUUUGCUUGAAUAAAUGCAGUAAACACAUG